rnacentral:rRNA from 1 species
CGACCGCUGGCGGCGUGCUUACCACAUGCACGUCGCACGGGCCCGCUCUCUUUUUUGGGGGUGGGUUGAGUGGCGAACGGGUGAGUAUCACGUGAGUAACCUGCCCCCUGCUCCUGGAUAACUGCUUGAAAGGGCGGCUAAUACGGGGUGUGCCGGCUGGUCCGCAUGGGCCUGGUCGGGAUAGUUUCAUCUUCGGGUGUUUCGGUGGGGGAUGGGCUCGCGGCCUAUCAGCUUGUUGGUGGGGUGAUGGCCCACCAAGGCGGUGACGGGUAGCCGGCCUGAGAGGGUGGGCGGCCACACUGGGACUGAGACACGGCCCAGACUCCUGCGGGAGGCAGCAGUGGGGGGUAUUGCACAAUGGGCGGAAGCCUGAUGCAGCGACGUCGCGUGAGGGAUGGAGGCCUUCGGGUUGUGAACCUCUUUCUCCGGUGGUGAAGGCCCUGUCCGUUGCGGCGGGGUUGACGGUAGCCGGGUAUGAAGCGCCGGCUAACUACGUG